rnacentral:rRNA from 1 species
AUUGAACGCUGGCGGCAGGCUUAACACAUGCAAGUCGAGCGAGCGGCGGACGGGUGAGUAAUGUCUGGGAAACUGCCUGCUGUAGGGGGAUAACUACUGGAAACGGUAGCUAAUACCGCAUACCAUCAGAUGUUCCCAGAUGGGCUUAGCUAGUAGGUGGGGUAAUGGCUCACCUAGGCGACGAUCCCUAGCUGGUCUGAGAGGAUGACCAUCAACACUGGAACUGGGACACGGUCGAGACUCCUACGGGAGGCAGCAGUGGGGAAUAUUGCACAAUGGGCGAAAGCCUGAUGCAGCCAUGCCGCGUGUGUGAAGAAGGCCUUCGGGUUGUAAAGUACUUUCAGCGGGGAGGCGUUACCCGCAGAAGAAGCACCGGCUAACUCCGUGCCAGCAGCCGCGGUAAUUC